CCGCCAUUUUGGAAUGCCGAGCCGCCUCGCUGCGGGAAGUUGUCAGGAGGGAUGAAUUUAAACUAGAAGAGGUACAGAAUGAGGUUCUGAAAAUGAUCAUAGAUGUGAAAAGCCUGUUUUACCAAGAAGAUAAAAAUCGGUUGGCUUCAUGUAGAAAAACAAAAGGUCUUGCUGUUGCCUCAUAUCAGAAAAACCUACCAGUGAACGGGUGUACAGGAGAAUGCAUAAGUAUUCAAGAAAAUUAUAUAAACUGAAAUGUAAAAAUUAAUAAAGAAUUACACGUGUAACAAUGUAGAACUAUAUCACUUUUUUUAAAAAUUGAGAAAGUGUAGUUAAAUGAGAAGCAACAUAUGCAUAAUGUAAG